CACUGAAAGAUAGGAAUUAAGAUUACUGACGUGUAAAUGAACAAAAAGCGCAUAUUGUUAUGGUUAGCUAGCGCAAAACAUGACACGCUUUUCCUUGGCAGCACAUUUUAAAACAUUACAAAUUGAGGACGACUAUUCGUUAUAGUCAAUAAAAAUAUCAGGGGCACACCAAAUGACGUUCAUUCUUUUCCGCCGUGCGUGUCAAAAGCAAAGCGCGAGCAUUUUGUUCAUAAAAUAGCGCCGCACGCCCAUAGCCAAAGGACCUCGUCGCGCGUGUGAAUUGAAUAACUAUUUCCGCGCUUCCUGCGUGUGUCGCGACAGACUUCAUGUGAGGAACGGCAGCCAAUAAUGGGACAUUGGUGCUUUAAAUUGUGCCCCGGGUCAUUCAAAGCGCGCAGCCACGCGCUAUACCCACCGAAGAAAGAGGAAGAGAGUUGACGGAGUCUAAAGACCAAUGUAAAGAUAAUUUUGGCUGUCGCUCCGGUGAUAAGGUGGCACUGGCGGUCUGGAGGGAGACGGAGAGGAACGAGGGCUGACCUUCCCAGACAGAGAGUGUGAGCUCUGCCACUGUCCUCCACACCGUCAUGAUGACUGCUUCACGCCGCCUUUGAGACACUGUGGGAAGCGAUUGAGAGUGUGUGUGUGUGUGUGUGUGUGUGUGUGUGUGUGUGCUUUUUAAAGGGAGAAGUGAUGAGAAGAUGCUGGUGAUGAUGGAAAGGGGAAAAAAAACAAUCUGCUUGUUUGACUCGGUACAAUAAAGAUCACUAUGACGACAAAAAA